CCUACGGGUGGCAGCAGUGAGGAAUAGUGGUCAAUGGACGAGAGUCUGAACCAGCCAAGUAGCGUGAAGGAUGACUGCCCUAUGGGUUGUAAACUUCUUUUAUAAAGGAAUAAAACGAGGCACGUGUGCCUUUUUGCAUGUACUUUAUGAAUAAGGAUCGGAUAACUCCGUGCCAGCAGCCGCGGUAAUACGGAGGAUCCGAGCGUUAGCCGGAUUGAUUGGGUUUACAGGGAGCGUAGAUGGGUUGUUAAGUCAGUUGUGAACGUUUGCGGCUCAACCGUAAAAUUGCAAUUGAUACUGGCAGUCUUGCGUACAGUUGAGGUAGGCGGACUUCGUGUUGUAGCGGUGAAAUGCUUAGAUAUCACG
rnacentral:rRNA from 1 species